rnacentral:rRNA from 1 species
UACAGAGGUGGCAAGCGUUGUUCGGAAUUACUGGGCGUAAAGGGCGCGUAGGCGGUCUUGUAAGUCUUGUGUGAAAUCCCUCGGCUUAACUGAGGAACUGCACGGGAUACUGCAUGACUUGAGAUCGGGAGAGGGAAGCGGAAUUCCGGGUGUAGCGGUGAAAUGCGUAGAUAUCUGGAGGAACACCGGUGGCGAAGGCGGCAUCCUGGACCGACAUUGACGCUGAGGCGCGAAAGCCAGGGGAGCAAACGGG